AUACGUAGGUGACAAGCGUUAUCCGGAUUUACUGGGCGUAAAGGGCGUGUAGGCGGUCUUGCAAGUCAGAAGUGAAAUUCAUGAGCUCAACUCGGGCGCUGCUUCUGAAACUGCAGGACUUGAGUGCUGGAGGGGAUAGCGGAAUUCCUAGUGGAGCGGUAAAAUGCGCAGAUAUUAGGAAGAACACCGGUGGCGAAGGCGGCUAUCUGGACAGUAACUGACGCUGAGGCGCGAAAGCGUGGGGAGCAAACAGGAUUAGAUACCCUGGUAGUCCACGCUGUAAACGAUAAGCACUAGGUGUCGGGCUAGCAAUAGUUCGGUGCCGCAGUUAACGCAAUAAGUGCUCCGCCUGGGGAGUACGCACGCAAGUGUGAAACUCAAAGGAAUUGACGGGG
rnacentral:rRNA from 1 species